rnacentral:rRNA from 1 species
GAUGAACGCUAGCGGCAGGCCUAAUACAUGCAAGUCGAACGGUCCGCUUCGGCGGAUAGUGGCGCACGGGUGCGUAACACGUAUGCAACCUACCUUACAUUGGGGGAUAGCCUUUCGAAAGGGAGAUUAAUACCGCAUAAGACAGUAGCUGGGCAUCCAGUAGCUGUUAAAGAUUUAUCGAUGUAAGCUGGGCAUGCGUCCAAUUAGUUAGUUGGUGAGGGAACGGCUCACCAAGACGAUGAUUGGUAGGGGAAGUGAGAGGUCAAUCCCCCACACUGGCACUUGGAUACGGGCCAGACUCCUACGGGAGGCAGCAGUAGGGAAUAUUGGGCAAUGGACGCAAGUCUGACCCAGCCAUGCCGCGUACAGGAAGAAGGCGUUCUGCGUUGUAAACUGCUUUUAUAUAGGAAGAAACGACCCUUGCGAGGGGCAUUGACGGUAUUAUAUGAAUAAGCACCGGCUAACUCCGUGCCAGCCGCCGCCGUAAUAC